rnacentral:rRNA from 1 species
CUACCUGCCAUCUCCGCGGUAAUACUUAGGGUGCAAGCGUUAAUCGGAAUUACUGGGCG